CCGGGAGGGUGACCCAGCCCGGAAUCCGCCGUAGGAGGGCUUAGGGUGACGCGAGUUGACGGACACUUGAUCUGGGCCCACGAGUUACUCUACUUACUGAUAUUUGGGGCUCCAGAUGGGCCACGUUUCCCAGGAUGACGGCCAAGUACAUUCAGUGACUCGUGUGGUCACUACCGUUUGAGGACAACAUGUGCGAGAAGACCUUCCCUGGCCCCUGCCCCGGCCUUCUUAAUUCGGGCGUGCCCAGCUGCCAGCUUGUUUUGUUUCUGGAAUUUCCUGGGAGCAUCUUUCACAAAUUCUCUCGUUGUUUGUUUACCUGGGAAGGUCUUUCUUUUCCCUCACUUUUGAAGAGCCACAAGGGCAUCUUCCUCAGACCUUCGUGAGGAGAUCUCAGGGCUCCUGGAAAUAAAGCCCCCCCUCCCCCGGCUCCCAGAAGCCCAGCGAGGCACCGCCCACCAGUUCCUGCCAGUUUACGGCUCCAGCAGCUUCUCCAGGCAGACCCACCUUGCCCACCCUGGCCUCCCAGACCUGCUGUCCCUCCAGGUUUCAGGGUGCUGGCUCGCCCUGCACGCUGGGCUCUCGGGUGAGUCUGAGAGAAGCAGUUGUUUUC